AGGGAGUACAUUUGGACUUCAUUUCCCAGGAUGCCUCAUCCAGCCUCCUUCCUGAAACCCGAUUCCUACAAUAACUUGUUUAUAAAAAUAAAAAGUCUGUGCUGUUCCUACAGAUUAAAUUAUUAGAGGAAAGGCAGUGCCUUUUCUUUGUGGAAUAAAAGAUAUUUCACAAGUUUCUUCAAGUUGUAGGAUCAGACAUUUAGGUUGAUUUAACCGUGGGAUGGAAGUUUGAUGUCCUAUCUUUACUAUGAAGUGAUGUGUAAUAGUACUUUGGAGAAUAUAAAACAAGAAAAUAGUGAUUUAAAAUAAAUUUUUGCAUUUCUCUAAAUAAUUGUUUACAAUCUUAUGGAAACUAUUCAGGUCUGUGAUGGUUUGAUAGGUUUUAAAGAAGUUAUUUUUGUUAAGGUUAUCUUUGGGGGCAGAAAAAACCCCACCUUUAAGAGGUUUUUUUACCACUAAUGUCUAAUACUUAAAUAAUGUGUAUUUACCUUAUUUCUUAUUAUGUGCCUUAUAUGUGUGUAUUAUAGCUUAGAAUGUUAUCUGAAGUAUCUUGGAAAAAUAUUGUGAGCUUUGUGAUAAUUCUCUUCUUGGUCUUUUUAAAAAUGUUUUCCUUGAUACUUAAAGAUAUAUUUUUUCUUUAGGUAAUUCUCUGAAUUCUAGUUUCUUGUGCUUUUUUAUAGAUAUUGGAUAUAGGUGCAGCCUAACUAGUCUUUGGUAACUAUGUUUCCCUCCUUGUCCAACAAAGAAUGGAGGUUCUCCUUGUCCCUCCUUUUGCUGUUGAUACAUUUAUAAAAACGCUUUUUGUUGUCCUUAACAGAAGUGGCCAGAUUACAUUCAAAUUGUGCUUUU